AGUUGGUUGCGGCGGCCUACACAUGCAAGUCGAGCGGCAGCACGGGUACUUGUACCUGGUGGCGAGCGGCGGACGGGUGAGUAAUGCCUAGGAAUCUGCCUGGUAGUGGGGGAUAACGCUCGGAAACGGACGCUAAUACCGCAUACGUCCUACGGGAAAAAGCACGGGACCUUCGGGCCUUGCGCUAUCACAUGAGCCUAGGUCGGAUUACCU
rnacentral:rRNA from 1 species